UACGUAGGUGGCAAGCGUUGUCCGGAUUUACUGGGCGUAAAGAGCGCGCAGGCGGUCGUGCAAGUCGCGUGUGAAAGCCCCCGGCUCAACUGGGGAGGGUCACGCGAUACUGCUCGACUCGAAGGCAGGAGAGGGAAGUGGAAUUCCCGGUGUAGUGGUGAAAUGCGUAGAUAUCAGGAGGAACACCGGUGGCGAAGGCAGAUCUCUGGGCCGUAACUGACGCUGAGGAGCGAAAGCAUGGGGAGCGAACAGG
rnacentral:rRNA from 1 species